GACAGAGGAGCCAAGCGUUGUCCGGACUGACUGGGCGUAAAGCGCACGGCAGGACGGCGCUGUGCGUGGGGUGGUGAAAGCUCUUGGCUUGAACUGAGAGAGGCCAUCCCAUACGGCAGCGCUCCGAGCGGUGCAGACGGUCCGCGGAAUUGCCGGUGGUACGUGGUGAAAUGCGUAGAGAUCGGACAGGAACACCCAGGGGGAA
rnacentral:rRNA from 1 species